rnacentral:tRNA from 1 species
GUGGGUACAGCUCAGUGGUAGAGCACAUGCUUACCAUGCAUGAGGUCCUGGGUUCAAUCCCCAGUAUCUCCA